CCUACGGGAGGCAGCAGUGAGGAAUAUUGGUCAAUGGACGAGAGUCUGAACCAGCCAAGUAGCGUGAAGGAUGACUGCCCUAUGGGUUGUAAACUUCUUUUAUAUGGGAAUAAAAUGUUCCACGUGUGGGAUUUUGCAUGUACCAGAUGAAUAAGCAUCGGCUAACUCCGUGCCAGCAGCCGCGGUAAUACGGAGGAUGCGAGCGUUAUCCGGAUUUAUUGGGUUUAAAGGGAGCGUAGGUGGGUUGUUAAGUCAGUUGUGAAAGUUUGCGGCUCAACCGUAAAAUUGCAGUUGAAACUGGCAGUCUUGAGUGCAGGAGAGGUGGGCGGAAUUCGUGGUGUAGCGGUGAAAUGCUUAGAUAUCACGAAGAACUCCGAUUGCGAAGGCAGCUCACUGGACUGCAACUGACACUGAGGCUCGAAAGUGUGGGUAUCGAACAGGAUUAGAUACCCCAGUAGUC
rnacentral:rRNA from 1 species